CCUAACUUGCUCCUCCCAAUAUCCCAUUAUCUAGUGUAUGUAUAUAUAAAUCAUAUUCUUAAUUAGCACAAUGAAUUAAUCAUUUCAGUAAACAUGAUGGAAAAACUUUGAUACUUAGCACAAAAUUGACAUGACACAGGCUAAGACAUAUAUAGUACUACAGACUAAGACAUAAAUGAGCACGUAGGUCCGGAUAAUCAGCAGGUAUUAACAGGCACGAAAUUGAUUGGCCUUUUAUUCAACUGAAUCUAGUGCAGGCAGACAUGCAUUACUCAAGAAAUAUUGUAUACAGUUCUGAACGAAGUACCACAGGGUAGAAAGAACAUGUCCGCAUGCCUCACUACACAUCCAUGCUACUGUUCUUUGAUGUUCUACUAUGAUGAACAAGCACCAGUAGCAUCAGCUAGACAAAAAAAAAUGAAGAGAAACACAGGAGUAGCAAGCACACCUGGGGAUCUUGAUGACCUGACGUUGAAGUGGUACACAGUCGAACAAGAUCCUAAGUCUGGAGCGGGAGAUCAACCUGGGAAAGGAGCACGUUGCGCCCACACCAGGAUUAGCAGCCUCAAAUCGUCAUCAGUUCGUGGCCGCAACUAUUCUUCACGAGAUCUACAAGAAAUGUGAGGGGAGAAGAGGAGAAACCCUGACGGGUCAGCAAGAUAUAGGCCCUGUUUGUAUACGCUUUUCUGGAACUCGCUUAUCUGACAAGCAAGCUUAUCUGAUAAGCCUGCUGCCUGGAGAAUCUGCUGUCUGAAUAAGCAGGGUGUUUGGCAAUCCUGAUUAUUUUGUGUCGAUUGUCUGUCCAAGUUGGUAAAUUGACCUGAAUGCCCCUAAGACUGAUAAUAGCUCAUUUUUGCUGCUUGCUAUGCUCUAGAUUACACCGUAUGCUAUUCAUCUGGUCAAGAGGCUAUAGCCCCCUUCAGAUUAGCUAGAGUUAACAGAAAGUUGCUAAACUACCCAAACUUGCCAAGUCCAAUUUCAACCAUCCAAACCGAGGCGGCUCUGGCGUCCGGCGGCGGGGGCGGCGCCCAGGCAGUAGGGGCGUCCGGCAGCGGGGCGGCACCCAGGCGGCAGGGGAGUCCGGCGGUGGGGGCGUCCGGCGGCGGGGCGGCGCCUAGGCGGCAGGAGAGUCCGGCGGCGGGGCCGGAUCCCAGGGGGCAGGAGCGUCGAGCGGCGGAGGCGACGCCCAGGCGGCCCGCGGCGGGGGCGUCCGGCGGCGGGGCGGCCCGCGGCGGGGGCCUGGCAGGGGCGGCCGGCGGAGGUAGGGAGGCAGGCCGGGCAACCCGAGUGGCGGCGGCGGGAUCUGCAGCGGCGGCGGUCGCCUGGAGGCGGCGUUGCCCGAGGGUAGCCGGGGGAAAAAUGCUCCGCUUGCCCCAGAAGCGUCUCCAGACCCGCGUAGGAGAUAAGCUGGGUCCUAGUUCAAUUCCAGAUUUUCCACUAAGCGGCUUACGUGACAAGCGGGGAAUAAGCAAGGCAUUUGGGUGGGUUUAUCGCUUAUUUUCACCAAUAAGCGGGAAAUAAGCGACUCCAAAUAGGCCCAUAGGCGGAGGCGGACUCACCUGAUGCGGCGCCGGAGUUGGAGGCGGGUGGUGGCAGCGCAGUCGGCGAUGGAGGAGACGCAGCAGAAGCGAUGGCGGAGGGGAAGAUCUGGUGGUGGCAGCGUUAUUGCUCGC
rnacentral:lncRNA from 1 species